rnacentral:rRNA from 1 species
CCUACGGGUGGCUGCAGUGGGGAAUAUUGGACAAUGGGGGGAACCCUGAUCCAGCCAUGCCGCGUGUGUGAAGAAGGCCCUCGGGUUGUAAAGCACUUUCAGUGAGGAAGAACGCCUGGUGGUUAAUACCCAUCAGGAAAGACAUCACUCACAGAAGAAGCACCGGCUAACUCCGUGCCAGCAGCCGCGGUAAUACGGAGGGUGCGAGCGUUAAUCGGAAUUACUGGGCGUAAAGCGCGCGUAGGUGGCUUGAUAAGCCGGUUGUGAAAGCCCCGGGCUCAACCUGGGAACGGCAUCCGGACCUGUCAAGCUAGAGUGCAGGAGAGGAAGGUAGAAUUCCCGGUGUAGCGGUGAAAUGCGUAGAGAUCGGGAGGAAUACCAGUGGCGAAGGCGGCCUUCUGGACUGACACUGACACUGAGGUGCGAAAGCGUGGGUAGCAAACAGGAUUAGAUACCCUUGUAGUC